GGCGGCAUAGCCAAGUGGUAAGGCAAGGGACUGCAAAUCCCCCAUCCCCAGUUCGAGUCUGGGUGCCGCCUCCA
rnacentral:tRNA from 1 species